rnacentral:misc_RNA from 1 species
UCAGAGACUCGACCACUUCAGCUUCUCGGAACUCCCGAGUUUCCCCCAACGCUACCUGAUAAACACUGAGCACUGGGUGGGUCCCGACCGUUUGGGUCCUAUCUUCCUCUACUGCGGAAAUGAAGGCGACAUCGAAUGGUUCGCACUCAACACUGGCUUUGUCUGGGAUAUCUCGCCCCGUUUCGGCGCCAUGGUCGUUUUCCCUGAGCAUCGGUAUUAUGGAGAGUCAAUGCCAUUUGGGAGCAGGGACGUGGCGUAUAAGAACGCAACUACACUAUCGUAUCUAACGGCGGAGCAAGCGCUGGCUGAUUUCGCGGUGCUGAUUACGGACUUGAAGAGGAACUUAUCGGCGGAGGGUUGUCCAGUGGUGUUAUUCGGUGGAUCGUACGGUGGAAUGCUAGCGGCGUGGAUGAGGCUGAAGUAUCCUCAUAUAGCGAUCGGUGCACUUGCUUCAUCUGCGCCGAUUCUUCAAUUUGAAGAUAUUGUGCCACCGGAAACUUUUUAUAACAUCGUCUCCAACGAUUUCAAGCGUGAAAGCACCAGUUGCUUUAACACUGUAAAAGAGUCAUGGGAAGCAUUAGUAUCUGAGGGUCAGAAAGAGAAUGGACUUGUGCAAUUAACCAAAACUUUUCGCCUGUGUCGGGAAUUAAAUAGAACGGAAGAGCUUGCAGACUGGCUGGACUCUGCUUAUAGUUAUUUGGCAAUGGUGGACUAUCCCUAUCCUUCCGCAUUUAUGAUGCCUCUGCCCGGACACCCCAUAAGAGAGGUUUGCAAAAAAAUUGAUGGUUGUCCUGAUGGGACUAGCAUUCUGGAGCGCAUUUUUGAAGGAGUAAGCAUCUAUUACAAUUAUAGUGGGAAUGUUGACUGCUUUGAACUGGAUGAUGAUCCUCAUGGCUUGGAUGGUUGGAAUUGGCAGGCUUGUACUGAGAUGGUGAUGCCAAUGGCUAGCAGCAAGGACGCAAGCAUGUUUCCAACUUAUAAUUUUAAUUAUACUUCUUUCAAGGAAGAAUGCUGGAAGGAAUUCAGGGUUGUGCCUAGGCCUAGAUGGAUAACAACUGAAUUUGGUGGACAUGAUAUCAAGACUGUGCUGGAAAAAUUUGGAAGCAACAUCAUUUUCUCUAAUGGUCUACUGGAUCCUUGGAGUGGUGGGAGUGUUCUGCAGAAUUUAUCGGAGACUGUUGUUGCCCUUGUUACAGAAGAAGGGGCUCAUCACAUAGACUUGCGUCCUUCAACACCUGAGGAUCCUGAUUGGUUGGUAGAGCAGAGGACAACCGAAAUCAAGCUGAUUGAAGGAUGGAUAAAUGGCUACAAUCAGAAAAAGAAAACAACUUUCAACAUGUAGGGGGUUAAAAACUGCUCUAGUAGAUCCUUGCUUGAACAUAUCUGAAGCCUUUUUUUUCUGUGGUUUUCUCGCUAGAAUGACGAAACAAAAAUAUGUUGAAAACUUUGGUUCCGCUUACCUGGUCUGUACGCAUUGCUGCAUAAAAUCAUAUGUUUGUUUUUCUGGCUACAGAAAAUUAGAGUUAUCUAUUGAUUUCUAUCUGCAAUCAUAGGGCAGUUAAGUUUAACUGCUAUUUGCAGAGAGCUCGUUAAAACAUUCCUUCUGUUUGGUAGAGCGUAAUCAAAUAUGCAAUGUAAUUAUAUAAUUACAUU